rnacentral:rRNA from 1 species
AUGGUACUCGUCUUUCAUAGCUUUGCAACCUCCAAGGUUCACAUGGUGUUCCUUGUUUCUCUUUUCUACCGCAGUGCUCUCAAUUGUGUUCAACUCUGUUAUGUCCUUUCUUUCAACUUUUCAACCUCUCAAGGUUCUUUGCUCCGCUACUUGAGCAGAGAGCCACCUGGUGCGGUGAGUCGGCGUCAUCAUCGCCUCGAGGUUGAGGUACGACCCAAUGAUGUCCUCGUCAACAUCAGGAGCAUGACUAUAAACCACACUAAAGCCAUAUAUCUAAAUAAUCUAGGAGAUUCGAGUGAAUUGUACAAAUAUCUAGAAAUAGAACAGCGAUAUCUAGAAAUAGCUAGCGAGAGUGUUGAAGCACUUAUAAACUGUGUUAACGAAAACAUUGGAUUUAGCGAUGGAAAACCAGUUGCUGCAAUAACGAUAUACAAAUGUCUUCUUCAUUGGAGAACUUUCGAGGCAGAAAAGACAAAUGUUUUUGAUCGGAUUAUUCAGAUUUUUGCUUCAGGAAUGCAGAAACAAGACAGCAACCCCGAUCUUGCAUACUGGCUAUCAAAUGCAUCAUCAUUGUUGAUUAUACUGCAAAAGAGUCUGAAACCUGCUGGCACUGUAACAACACCACUGAAAAGAACAACGACUCAGACGUCUUUCCUUGGGAGGAUGGUAUGUUAUAUAUAUAUAUCCUUUUAUUUUCUUGAACACGCAUAA